rnacentral:lncRNA from 10 species
UCUCAUAUUACCAGGGUUGGUUUUCUGGUUCCUUCUCACUUGGGUAGGCUCUAUCAGAGGGAAGUUCUAGGGCUGAAGGCUGUUGUUCAGAUUCUUUUGUCCCAUGGGUGUGUUUACUUGUUGUAGUACUCUCCCCUUUUUCCUAUAGAUGUGGCUUCCUGUGAGCUAAAUUGCAGUGUUUGUUGUCUCUUUUCUGGGUCUAGCCACCUAGUGACUCUACUCAGCUCCGGGCUGGCACUGGGGGUUGUCUGCACGGAGUACUGUGAUGUGAACCGUCUAUUGGUCUCUCAGCCAUGGAUACCAGUUCCUGUUCCAGUGGAGGUGGUGGGGAGUGCAAUGGACUCCGUGAGGGUUCUUAGCUUUAAUGCUCUAGUUUUGUGAUGGUUGGCCUCCUGCCAGGAGGAAUCAGCUCCAGGGAGUAUCAGCUGUAGUAGUAUGUAUAGGGACCAGUGGUGGGGGUUGGGGGUCCUAGAACUCCCAAGGUUAUAUGCCCUUUGUCUUCGGUUACCACGGUGGAUAGGGAGGGGCCAUUAGUUGGGGGUGGGGCUAGGUGUGUCUGAGCUCUGACUCUCCUUGUGUGGGUCUUUCUGUGGCUGUUGUGGGGGAUAGGGGUGAGAUGCCCAGGUUAAUGGAGUUGUGUACAUAGGAGGAUUAUGCUGCCUCUGCUGAGUCAUGCAGGUUGUCAGGGAAGUGGGGGAAAGCCGGCAGUCAUAGGCCUCACCCAGCUCCCAUGCAAACCAAAGAGCAGUUCUCAUGGAGCCUGUUUCCAGGUGGUGGGCAAGAUGGGCUUGAAAACUUGCCUCAGGCUACCUGCCUCUCAACUAUGGAAAAAAAGGGCUUGGUUCUUCCCCUGCCUGUGGAGUCUGCACAACAGAUUUGUGCCCUCCCAUGAGUUCUGGCCAGGAGGCUUCUCGCCCUGUUCAAAUUGUUACAAAGUUCAACUAUAGAUUUCUUUCUUCCUGUGGAGUUUCAACACCUGCUCCUCUGGCCACCCUCACAAUGGAUCCCUGUGGUGCCAAGCAGGAAUGGCCUGUUUGGGCACCCAGUGAGCUCCCAGGGCCUUUCUACUGCUUCCUCAAACCCUGUAUUUUGCUCAGCUCUCUAAAUGGAUUCAACUCCAGAGAAGACUAUCAAGUAGUUAGGAAAGAAAGUCAGUGAGAUGUCUCAGGCGUGACUCAGCUACGGAAACAAUAGCAAUCAGAGGACAUUUGGAGAUGAAGAAAAAAAAGAAACAAACUUCAAUACAAUGAGAAAUAUACCAGUACAUAGACCUGGAACCAAACCCAGAACUUCACUUCCCUGUGCCAGAAGGAUUCCAGUGAGCUUUUCCCACAGGCCCUACAGUCUUCUCCAGGUGAACCUCGGUCACUAUCUAUAUUUAUUAAUGGUUUCUGUCCUGUAAAUAUCUUCUAUAAUAAAAGAUU